GCAGAUGAGAGAGUCUGGAGCAGAGACAAUUUUAACUUAGCCAUUCCUAAUUUAUCUCAAGCGUUUUCAAUUCAUCUUCACUGCUCUAUGCACACAGGAACACCAGAUUGCCAUCCCUGGGGAACAGAAUGCAACCCGGGAUCUAGAGAGCUGUCACAUUCCAAGAAAUAUUUAAAUUGUGCUGAUUUUCUUCUGGAGAACUGAGCCCAGGGAAUGAAACUCUCCAUCAAGUCAUGGCUUUGCGGGCAAUAGAUCAGAGGAUAUUGCCAGUUUUCUAAUGGAUUAUUGUUAUCGGGCAGGUUUUCUCUGAAGCUUCUCAGCUGCUGUUACAUUCUACUUGGAUGGCUGUAAAAUGGGAUAAUGUUCACCCCACCACCCUGCUGUGAGCUCAGAUAUGUGAUACUUUAGACUGUAAAGCACUAUAACAAU
rnacentral:lncRNA from 1 species